CCUACGGGAGGCAGCAGUGAGGAAUAUUGGUCAAUGGACGAGAGUCUGAACCAGCCAAGUAGCGUGAAGGAUGACUGCCCUAUGGGUUGUAAACUUCUUUUAUAUGGGAAUAAAACGUUCCACGUGUGGGAUUUUGUAUGUACCAUAUGAAUAAGGAUCGGCUAACUCCGUGCCAGCAGCCGCGGUAAUACGGAGGAUCCGAGCGUUAUCCGGAUUUAUUGGGUUAAAGGGAGCGUAGGUGGAUUGUUAAGUCAGUUGUGAAAGUUUGCGGCUCAACCGUAAAAUUGCAGUUGAAACUGGCAGUCUUGAGUACAGUAGAGGUGGGCGGAAUUCGUGGUGUAGCGGUGAAAUGCUUAGAUAGCACGAAGAACUCCGAUUGCGAAGGCAGUUCACUGGACUGCAACUGACACUGAGGCUCGAAAGUGUGGGUAUCAAACAGGAUUAGAUACCCUUGUAGUC
rnacentral:rRNA from 1 species